AUUACUUUGACAGAUUAAUGUUAUAAAUUUAGAAUUUAUUUAAGUAACUUUAAAUUACAAGUAAUA
rnacentral:tRNA from 1 species